UACGUAGGUGGCAAGCGUUGUCCGGAUUUACUGGGCGUAAAGGGCGUGCAGGCGGUCUGUUAAGUCUAGGGUGAAAGCUCCCGGCUCAACUGGGAGAGGUCCUUGGAUACUGGCGGACUUGAGGGAGGCAGAGGAAAGUGGAAUUCCCGGUGUAGUGGUGAUAUGCGUAGAUAUCGGGAGGAACACCAGUGGCGAAGGCGGCACUCUGGGCCGGAACUGACGCUGAGGAGCGAAAGCGUGGGGAGCAAACAGG
rnacentral:rRNA from 1 species